UAUUCUGGUGUCCUAGGCGUAGAGGAACCACACCAAUCCAUCCCGAAU
rnacentral:rRNA from 10 species